rnacentral:rRNA from 1 species
AUUGAACGCUGGCGGCAGGCCUAACACAUGCAAGUCGAGCGGUAGAGAGAAGCUUGCUUCUCUUGAGAGCGGCGGACGGGUGAGUAAUGCCUAGGAAUCUGCCUGGUAGUGGGGGAUAACGUUCGGAAACGGACGCUAAUACCGCAUACGUCCUACGGGAGAAAGCAGGGGACCUUCGGGCCUUGCGCUAUCAGAUGAGCCUAGGUCGGAUUAGCUAGUUGGUGGGGUAAUGGCUCACCAAGGCGACGAUCCGUAACUGGUCUGAGAGGAUGAUCAGUCACACUGGAACUGAGACACGGUCCAGACUCCUACGGGAGGCAGCAGUGGGGAAUAUUGGACAAAGGGCGAAAGCCUGAUCCAGCCAUGCCGCGUGUGUGAAGAAGGUCUUCGGAUUGUAAAGCACUUUAAGUUGGGAGGAAGGGUUGUAGAUUAAUACUCUGCAAUUUUGACGUUACCGACAGAAUAAGCACCGGCUAACUCUGUG